UAACUUCUUCUUCGGAUAGGUUAGCUAAGAAACUACCUCCACUUGUUGCUUUAACUCUGUAACGAUCUCUAUCUACAUUACUUUAAAUUGUGGUUUCUUCACCACACCACAAUGGACAAUUAGGUGUACCAAAGUGCCGAAAAUCGUCAAAACGCCUGACAACAAGAAUUGGAGAUGCCUCUUUAUGGCCCUCCCAUUUGAAUCAGCUGCAUCGGGGACUUCAACAACUUCUUUAGUGUCUCCACAAUGCUCUUAAUGGACGGACGCUGUGCAGGGUCACUGUCCAAAAAAAAAAAAUCAGAAAUUAAUAGCAUAAGAGGUGUAGUCAAAGACAAGCAACUUGUUUUAUAUCUAGUUGUUACAGAAUCUAUAAGAAAUUCGCUACAAAUUUGCACGAGCCAAUCCCUUCCAACAACUUUGAUUCAUUUCAACCCAAAGGCCAAAUCCCAGAUCAGAUUAACGAAUAUCUUUUUGAAUGUACAGGAGUACUGAAGUAACGAUAAUAGAUCUAAAACAGCAAAAAAUUCUUACUCAGCCCAACAUGAUUCCAUCAAAGACGUGAGGAUAGGAGAUGUAUUAGGCGGAAUAACGAGUCUUCUAUUCUGGAAAGCUACCGCACCAACAACCUGAGACAUUUCAAGGUUUUCCUCAAUUAUAUGGCAUUAUGAAACUCGGUUGUGCUUUGUGUAAGAAAUAGGCUACAAAUGUAAUUUUCCCAAGCAGCACUUUAUGUUGUCUGUAUUACAGGUCAAAACAAACCUGAGCUGGACUAAGUCCACUCCAAGGCUGUUGCAUAGUCACAAGCUCCCAUAAGAUGACUCCAAAACUGUAGACGUCAGACUUCUCAUUUGAGGGCUCUCCUCGAAGAAAUUCAGGGGCCAUCCACUCAGGCUGAAAGGAAAACCAAGAGAGUUACAUGCUGAUUGAUGCAGGGCCAAAUAAAUGCUCAACCUGCAAGAUGUUAAUUUGCAUAGCUGACUUUCUGUUGAGCAAGAAAAGGAGACCACUUGUCCAAAUAGUUGCUAAAAAAAAUCCAAAUGCAAAGCUAAAAUGCAUGUACAUAUAAGACUUGGGAAAUAGAACUUCCUUAGAUAUUUAGUAAAUAAUUAGUAGUGCAACAAAUCAUAAUCAGAAACAUAACUCCCUAGUGGGAGAGCUCUUCUUCUGUCAACAGAACAGCAAUUCUAGAACAUUCGUGGCUAUAGUACGUUUAUUCACAGCAAAGCUAACACCAUUUCUAGAAAUUGGUUAGACCUUGAUCCCAAGGGUAAAUUAGAUAUAAUCAAAUCAAUGAGAUUUAUAUAACCAUUUGCACUCAAAUGACAAUUACAUUAAACACUCAGCGAAAUCUUGUCAAACAUGAGCACCAUCAGUAUCUCAUUCUACAAGUAAAGCUUAACCUACAAGGGAAUGCGACAAAGUACACAAACUAGUGAUGUAUCAACACUAAUCCUUCUAAUUGUACAUGCGAAAGCAUGUGAGAGAGAGAGAGAGAGAGAGAGGAUAGCGAGGCUUACCGUUCCAGCAACAGACUUUGAUGAGAUAAACGUGCUUGCUUUAAAUCUUGACAAGCCAAAAUCACAAACCUGGUGCGUACCAUAACAAAAGAAGUUAAAGCAAGUCUAGGUUGGUUGAAAGCAAAUUUACCAACCAAGUGGAUUAACAUUGUGUACCUUUACAGUCCAAUUUUUAUCAACCAACAGAUUUGGAGAUUUGAGGUCCCAGUGAACAAUGGAAGGAGUCAAACAAUGAAGAUAGUUGAUGCCCUUCGCCUGCAAGUAAUAGGCAUAAGAAAGUUUUGUACAUGAGGGUAAGCAGUAUGAUUGGUACAUCUAUAUUCUGCACUAACCACAUCCAGAGCCAUCCUUAGCCGCCUCCUCUGAUCCAAUAUUUCUCCAGCUGCAGGCCUGUGUAUCAAGCGAUACAGACUUCCUCUGUUUCAUAACAAUUGGCCAUUGCAUACAUAAAUUAGUGAAAAUUUAAUCUCUGGUGACAAAAUAGCACUUAACUUUCCACAGAAACUAAGAAAAAAUGUACCUAGGUAAAUAUUCUGUCACAAUCGACAAAUGUGGACGCUUCAUAACAGCUCCCAUGAAAAGAACGACGUUUGGAUGACGAACACGUUUCAUAAUUGCAACCUUGAAAAGCCACAGAUUUGUUUUUCAGAAUAUAAGCUACUACCUCAUAAAAGAACUCUGGCACAGGAGUCAAGUUCACGUCGCAAAAAUAAGAUUAUAUAAUAGACAAUGAAGUAAGUGCAUUGUGAUCCAUGCUUAAAUGACUUUUUAUUCCAGAGUGGAUGCCACAAGACUGUCGGAUAACAAAAUAUUCUGCAUACGAAAAGUAUCUGAGAUCAUUAUACUUGUAGCGAAGAAUUAGGUCCGCAAGGCAUACCUCCCUCAGGAACUCCUUGAACUGGUCAUCAUGGAAAUCUUGGAUAGUUAGCACCUUGACCGCAACAUCCUGCAAGAAAUUAAGUACUUUGAGCUUCACGUGAAACGAAUAUUGUAUUCAAAAUCAUAAUGUGAAAAAAGAGGAAGCUUUUGCUCUAGACUGAAAAUUCUAUAAACAUGAACCAUACACAUCCCACUUUGUUUUCAGUCAAAUAUCACCUUCAAAGUGGCGAGUAUUUCUAGAUCUGUAAUCUUUUAAUGCAUUUAAUACAUGAUCAUGCACAAAUGAUUCCAAGCAGACCAAGGAAUCUUUUAUUUGUAUAAACAAAUUUAGUUCUGGGAACAAGUAAAGUAGUAAUGGACACCUAAAUACACACUCAAAACUACCUGUAUAUCUUGGUACCAGGGAUACAAAUAACUUAGGGAGUCUUAGACUGUCUAAAAGGGCAGCUGAUAACAAAUAAAGUUGGAGCUAUAUUACUAACCGAUCCAUGCCAUUCAGCUCUAUGUACAGUCCCAAAUGAACCUGGAAGGCAGGAUGCAAACAUUUUAGUUGCUGCACAGACGAUAAAGUUAACGGUAAUUCUUAAGCUUUCCAUAUUAGACAAAAGAUAGCAAAGGAAGUACCAGCACCAACACGCUCCUUAAUAUGUAAUUCAUCCCAUGAUAUCUCAAGCCAAUCCAUUGCAAGUGAAGGUUCAAGAUUCAAGUAUCUAGAAUGGCCACCAGCAGGAUAGCUCCCGCACUUCUUAGGUCGGCUCUCAACAUCCAUCAAACUUGUCUUAACAGGCAACAUCAACUUAGCAAUUUGCAUGCCAGCAGCACAUACAACUGAAUUUCCAGACAUGACGAUCUCGUUUUUGUAUCCCUGGCUAACAACUACAUUUUCAUCUCUGGAUAGAGAGCAUUCAUCCACUGCUAUACCGGCAAUAAUAGGUGCACGUAUUGCACUUCCAGAAGCUUGAUUAGUCAGACAGUACAUUGUAUCCCUCAGAUUGUGGUGCAGGCCAAUCCCCUGCACUGCAUGACCACCUUCCUCAUUGCCUGCAAGAUAUGGAAAAUAAGCUUCAAAUGACAAAAAGCCACAUAUUCCAGUAUUAUGAUUGUUACUGUAAAACUAAUUCAUUCACUUUAGUCUUUCGCUUUAUGGUUUCAAAAGUAAAUUCGUGAUUACAAGAAUUCUUCAAGAUGCUGAAUGCAGAACGAAUUUCAAUAUUUUGAAUACAUAACACAUCAAACAUAGGAGCUUCUCCCAUAUUUCAUGCUGAUAAGUGACAGGAUGUAAAAGUCCACAUUGUGCAGCAAUCAAGGAGGCAAUGCAUUUGAUUUUAGUUCAUUAGAUGGACGUAGACAAGCACCAGGGGCUCCUGCAGCUAACAAUACACAGUAGAAGAAAGUCAAAAGGCAUCACCUAAUCACUCAAAUUAAUCACUGUGGAAAAUUUUGCACAACACCCCACGUGUUGUGUAGUAUAAAAUUCAAAUGAAAGACACUCGCAAUUCUUAAUCAACGAGGAAAACCAAUAAUAAACUCAAAUACAUAAAAAAAAGAAUUAAAUACCUGAAUAGAGAAUAUUUUAAAAAUUUGAACAUAUGGUACAAAGACUAGAUGAAAUCACACAAAACACAAUCUUAUUUGAAUCCUUGUCCUAUAUAUUAUACACAAAAUACAGAAUCAGCGUAUUAGAGUUUUUAUCCUAAUAUUGACAUAAAGUCCUCACCCUUUAUAUUGUACACAAAAUACAGAAUCAAUAUGUGCAAGAUACUAAAAGAACGUUUAUCCAAAAAAAAAAAAAAAGGAUGAAAAAAGAAGUGUGUGUAUCCGCUAUGUUUGUCUCUAAUUAAUAUGUAAAAUAUUGACUUAAAAGACGUAAAGCUAAGAUGAAUCGGUAAUCAUGACUGGAAACGUCAUUUGCCUUGGCAUUCCAUCAAAAGUUCCAAUAGAUCAAGUCUUAAAUGCUCCAAAGACUUGAAAAGCUCUUAAGAUCCCCAAAUCGUUUUGCAACUGCUAUGAUCCAGCAUCCAUGGUGAGAGAAUGGAAAAUGAUACGACACUAGGUGCUCUUUAUAGUUUAAUGUUAGAUGUUUAUCGUAGAUGGUCGAUCACAUUCAGUAUUACAUACUAGACAAAAAAAAAAAAAAAAACACCAAGGAGACCAUGACUAAUUAGCUGAAUUUUCUUGACAAAAAAAACAUAUUAGCUGAAUUUUAAUUAACAUUAUUCAAAUUACAUAAACUAGAGUAAGCCUGCAAAUGCAAUACAUUAUGGCUCUGCUUCUGGCUCAUUAUGGCCAACAAAGUAAGCCUGCAAAUGCAAUACAUGGUAUACGGCUGUUUAUUUGUCGCUAGGCAUGAAAAAAAGAUGCUCACCGGAACACCAGCGGCUUUGCACUGCAGGAAACCUGCUACAGGAUCUCCCAAAGAUGCAAAUAUAACAGGCAGUGGACAUCUUUAAUUAACUUCUUCUUCGGAUAGGUUAGCUAAGAAACUAUCUCCACUUGUUGCUUUAACUCUGUAACGAUCUCUAUCUACAUUACUUUAAAUUGUGGUUUCUUCACCACACCACAAUGGACAAUUAGGCGUACCAAAGUGCCGAAAAUCGUCAAAACGCCUGACAACAAGAAUUGGAGAUGCCUCUUCAUGGCCCUCCCAUUUGAAUCAGCUGCAUCGGGGACUUUAACAACUUCUUUAGUGUCUCCACAA
rnacentral:lncRNA from 1 species